rnacentral:rRNA from 1 species
UAAUUCCGGAUAACGCACAUAUGCUGGAAUGCUUUAUGCGUAAAAUGGAUUCGUCUGCCCAAGGAUGGAUCUGCGGCCUAUCAGGUAGUAGUGGGUGUAAUGUACCUACUAGCCAACAACGGGUACGGGUUGCGAGAGCAAGAGCCCGGAGAUGGAUUCUGAGACAUGAAUCCAGGCCCUACGGGGCGCAGCAGGCGCGAAAACUUUACAAUGCGGGAAACCGUGAUAAGGGGACACCGAGUGCCAGCAUCAUAUGCUGGCUGUCCGGGUGUGUAAAAUACACCCGUUAGCAAGGGCCGGGCAAGACCGGUGCCAGCCGCCGCGGUAACACCGGCGGCCCGAGUGGUGAUCGUGAUUAUUGGGUCUAAAGGGUCCGUAGCCGGUUUGGUCAGUCCUCCGGGAAAUCUGACGGCUCAACCGUUAGGCUUUCGGGGGAUACUGCCAGGCUUGGAACCGGGAGAGGUAAGAGGUACUACAGGGGUAGGAGUGAAAUCUUGUAAUCCCUGUGAGACCACCUGUGGCGAAGGCGUCUUACCAGAACGGGUUCGACGGUGAGGGACGAAAGCUGGGGGCACGAACCGGAUUAGAUACCCGGGUAGUCCCAGCCGUAAACGAUGCUCGCUAGGUGUCAGGCAUGGCGCGACCGUGUCUGGUGCCGCAGGGAAGCCGU